rnacentral:rRNA from 1 species
UACGUAGGGGGCUAGCGUUGUCCGGAAUCAUUGGGCGUAAAGAGCGUGUAGGCGGCCCGGUAAGUCCGCUGUGAAAGUCGGGGGCUCAACCCUCGGAUGCCGGUGGAUACUGUCGGGCUCGAGUACGGAAGAGGCGAGUGGAAUUCCUGGUGUAGCGGUGAAAUGCGCAGAUAUCAGGAGGAACACCGGUGGCGAAGGCGGGUCUCUGGGCCGAAACUGACGCUGAGGAGCGAAAGCGUGGGGAGCAAACAGG